CACGAACCGUCCGAACGUUAUUCGGAAUCACUGGGCUUAAAGAGUGCGUAGGCGGUCAUGCAAGUUGGGUGUGAAAUCCCUCGGCUCAACCGAGGAACUGCGCCCAAAACUGCAUGGCUAGAGGGAGAUAGAGGUGAGCGGAACUGAUGGUGGAGCGGUGAAAUGCGUUGAUAUCAUCAGGAACACCGGAGGCGAAGGCGGCUCACUGGGUCUCUUCUGACGCUGAGGCACGAAAGCUAGGGGAGCGAACGGG
rnacentral:misc_RNA from 1 species